UUCAAACACGGAGAAUGACUAGUUGCUUAAGCGUUCACAUUAGGGUCACACAAUCAAUUACCUCCUAAAUGUAUCGUCUCUAUUUCCAAUAUCUGAACACACAAGGAAACUAUAAUCUCCUCUUUCAUCUUAUCGGUUUCUUCCUUACAGCAAUUUAGUCAUACCAAUAACUGCUAUUUCCACCAAUAUAUUCACCUUCAUAAUCUCCAAAUAUAAUACUAUGCCC
rnacentral:lncRNA from 1 species